UACGUAGGGUGCGAGCGUUGUCCGGAAUUAUUGGGCGUAAAGAGCUUGUAGGUGGCUCGUUGCGUCGGGAGUGAAAACCUGCGGCUUAACCGCAGGCCUGCUUCCGAUACGGGCGAGCUAGAGUUCGGCAGGGGAGACUGGAAUUCCUGGUGUAGCGGUGAAAUGCGCAGAUAUCAGGAGGAACACCGGUGGCGAAGGCGGGUCUCUGGGCAGUAACUGACGCUGAGGAGCGAAAGCGUGGGGAGCGAACAGG
rnacentral:rRNA from 1 species